GGGGCCGUAGCUCAGCUGGGAGAGCGCCGCGUUCGCAAUGCGGAGGCCAGGGGUUCGAUCCCCCUCGGCUCCACCA
rnacentral:tRNA from 3 species